rnacentral:lncRNA from 1 species
UUCUCUGAGGCGUCUGGGGCACGUGACCACAAACUAGGGUAACUGGGUGCUCUCUCCCGGAAUCCAGCCCUUGAGCUUGAGAGACACAAGACGGAAACAGGGAUGAAACCAUUCAUCAAGCUGGUUGUAGCCUCAACAAGACCAUCUGUUUGUUUCUGUUCCCAGAGCACUGAGGUUGCUUCUCUUUAGGAACCUAGUUCCACCUUUUCCUAACAAUAAACUGCUCUUUGCUGGACACCAGUCUCAAAUUUUAGGACAGUCGAUGGAUGAUGAAGAGGAGAGGAGAGAAAAGUGCUUGUUUCCCUAGAGGUCUCAGUCUUAUUGCUCCUUCGGAAGAGAAGAGAUAUAGCUUAUACAGACUAAAAUUUGGGGACGAUGACAUGGAGGGUUUGUGCAAAGUAAAUGUCUUGGUGCUGCUAUCAGAAUACAAUAGAUGUUUGGUUUGUGACAUUAGAUAUCUCUUAUGUUUGUAUGCCUUUUGCGAGGAAAGGCUAAAUUUCAGCUUCCUUGUCGCCCAGCACAUGGCCAUAGGUCAAUUACCGCUGAUCUAAAUUAACAUUUUUAAGCAAUAUUUUUUAUUGG